UUUGNCCACNGUUAUUUGGGUGGGAGUAAGCCUGCGAGUUGAAUGAAAUGUGUUUUCAUUUCAUAGCAAACUGCUUAGUAACACAUGAUCAACCUACCCUAUGGAGGGAACGAACCUCGGGAAACUGAGGAUAAUGUCCCAUAGCAGAUUCGGCUUGGAAAAGUGUUUCUGUGAAAGGGAAACGGAUGAAUCCGUUUGUGCCAUAGGAUGGGAUUGUGGUCGAUUAGGUAGUUGGUGAGGUAAUGGCUCACCAAGCCGAUAAUCGAUAGGGGCCGUGAGAGCGGGAGCCUCAAGAUGGGUACUGAGACAGCGACCCAGGCCCUACGGGGCGCAGCAGGCGCGAAACCUCCACAAUGCACGCAAGUGCGAUGGGGCUACCCAAAGUGCUCCACACGGAGCUGUGGUGGAUGAGUAAUGUUCUCCACUAGAAAGGAGAGGGCAAGGCUGGUGCCAGCCGCCGCGGUAAAACCAGCUCUUCAAGUGGUCGGGAUAAUUAUUGGGCUUAAAGUGUCCGUAGCUGGUAGAGUAAGUUCCUGGUAAAAUUGGGCAGCUUAACUGUCCUUAUGCUAGGGAUACUGNUCUNCUANAGGGCCGGGAGAAGUCUGANGUACUACANGGGUANGGGUGAAAUCUUAUAAUCCUUGUAGGACCACCAAUGGCGAAAGCGUCAGACUGGAACCGCCU
rnacentral:rRNA from 1 species